rnacentral:rRNA from 1 species
ACGUAGGUUCCGAGCGUUAUCCGGAUUUACUGGGCGUAAAGCGCGUUCAGGCGGUUUGGCAAGUCGGGCAUGAAAUCUCUCGGCUCAACCGGGAGAGGUUGUCCGAUACUGCUGGACUUGAGGGCAGUAGAGGGUGGUGGAAUUCCGGGUGUAGUGGUGAAAUGCGUAGAUAUCCGGAGGAACACCAGUGGCGAAAGCGGCCACCUGGACUGCACCUGACGCUGACACGCGAAAGCUAGGGGAGCGAACGGG